ensembl:lncRNA
AUGACAUGCUGAUGGCAGAGCGAUAGCAUCAGGUGUGGCCAAGCAACCGUCUGAAACAACAACUAACUGAGGGUUCCGGUUCAAAUAAUCGAGAAACGUUAUUGUCCAAGAAGGCCUCGACGGCACCUCCAUCACAGCUUCAAAGGGCAGUUGACAGAAUCAUACGUGGCACCAAUUACCCCGGUCUGGGCCCGUCAGCUGGAGGAGAGCAGAGCCGGAGGAAGUCAAAAGGACGGCUGAGCGUCUCCUCUGUGGGGUCGGAGGCUGAUGCGCUGACGGGGACACACAUCUCUGAUCCGGAGAGUCACUGUGUGUGUGUGUGUGUGUGUGUGUCGCUGACAUUAAGCCGAUACGGAGGUCGACGUUACCACGUUAGCAUUGCCAUUUUUAGCUUUUAGCGUUGCCAUUCACAUAUACCUGUAACAUGUCAGACCGAACCCUACGAGAAAACAAGAGCAGAUUUGAAGUGUUGGAGAUUAUGGAAAUGUCUAAACUCAAACUGAUCAAAGUGCAAUGUUUGAAUUGGAUUCCGCCCUAACGUCCAUAAACACGAUGUUUUAUUACUGCUGCUGAGCUGAACUUUGGAGCGCCAUUACAGACCUCCCAUUGUCCACUACAGUGCUCCCAUCAAUUGUUUGCCAACAAAGCCAAUAAAAGAUUCAGUUUGCGG